UCGAUUGAGUUUGAUCAUGGCUCAGGGCGAACGCUGGCGGCACGCCUAACACAUGCAAGUCGAGCGAUCGGCUCUGGGAAGCUUGCUUCCUGGAGUACGGAGCGGCGCACGGGUGAGUAACACGUGGGUAAUCUGCCUCGAAGUCUGGGACAACCCUGGGAGACUGGGGCUAAUACCAGAUACGCUCGCCGGGUCGCCUGGCCUGGCGAGGAAACGGAUUUCCGCUUCGAGAGGAGCCCGCGGCCUAUCAGCUUGUUGGUGGGGUAAUGGCCCACCAAGGCUCUGACGGGUAGCCGGCCUGAGAGGGCGAUCGGCCACAUCGGGACUGAGACACGGCCCGAACUCCUACGGGAGGCAGCAGUGGGGAAUCUUGCACAAUGGGCGAAAGCCUGAUGCAGCGAUGCCGCGUGAGGGAUGAGGGCCUUCGGGUCGUAAACCUCUUUCAGCAGGGAAGAAGCCACGGGUCACCGUGGUGACGGUACCUGCAGAAGAAGCCCCGGCUAACUACGUGCCAGCAGCCGCGGUAAUACGUAGGGGGCGAGCGUUGCCCGGAUUCACUGGGCGUAAAGCGCGUGUAGGCGGUCUGUUAAGUCGGAUGUGAAAUCUCCGGGCUCAACUCGGAAACUGCAUCCGAUACUGGCAGACUUGAGGAUGGUAGAGGUCGGUGGAAUACCAGGUGUACCGGUGAAAUGGGCAGAUAUCUGGUGGAACACCAGUGGCGAAGG
rnacentral:rRNA from 1 species